CGUGAAACAGAAGUACUGUUUUUCCCUGAUUUUGAAACGAUAAUUGUAACAAAAAAGUCCAAACACAUGUACGACAUAUUCUUCUUCAAGAAUUUUAUGUAUUUGUGGAAUUCUCUUCGGAUGAUAUUGUAAUUCACUGGUUUCUUGAUAGCUACGUAUUAUCCUUUCAAAUGUUUGAACCUUAUGCAAGUAACGGAAUUUGAACUCUGCAAUAUCACAAAUCAUUUUUAUAACUAAUUGGUCCCGCUUGACCGGCUAUACGACGGAUGCCUCAUUUUCGUCCUCUUGACGAUAGUUUAUCUGAAUUUCAGAUGUGCCAUAGGAAAUAUACCUUAUUGAUUUAAAUUACAGAUCAAUUAUUCAACACUCAAGAGGAGAAGGAAAAUGCACCAGACAAAAUCUAUAGCAGAGACGUUCCACUUAACCACCAAAAUGAAAAUAUCGAUGAUGACGAUAACAACAACAAUGACAUUAACGCUCUUCAAACUGACCAGAGGAGACUAGGAAAUAUUCAACGUAAUUAAACAAAUGCAUCAAAACAUAACAAUGAUUUUCAAUGUGUAUUAAAACCAAAAUCAUUGGUUUUACGCCUUAAAUGAAUAAAAAUUAGCUAAAAAUUGAACUUAUAUACAAUAAUAAAAAGUCAUGACAAACCUACGCAAAUAAUGAAAACUCAAUUGAUUGGUUUAUUUUCAGAUGCGAAAGAAUCGCUGUCAGAUAAACAGCUACAAG